AUUGAACGCUGGCGGCGUGCUUAACACAUGCAAGUCGAGCGAGUGAGUUCUUCGGAACGAUCUAGCGGCGGACGGGUGAGUAACACGUGGGCAACCUGCCUCAUAGAGGGGAAUAGCCUCCCGAAAGGGAGAUUAAUACCGCAUAACAUCGUUGAAGGGCAUCCUUCGAUGAUCAAAGGAGCAAUCCGCUAUGAGAUGGGCCCGCGGCGCAUUAGCUGGUUGGUGAGGUAACGGCUCACCAAGGCGACGAUGCGUAGCCGACCUGAGAGGGUGAUCGGCCACAUUGGGACUGAGACACGGCCCAGACUCUUACGGGAGGCAGCAGUGGGGAAUAUUGCACAAUGGGGGAAACCCUGAUGCAGCAACGCCGCGUGAGUGAUGACGGCCUUCGGGUUGUAAAGCUCUGUCUUCGGGGACGAUAAUGACGGUACCCAAGGAGGAAGUCACGGCUAACUACGUGCCAGCAGCCGCAGUAA
rnacentral:rRNA from 1 species